rnacentral:rRNA from 1 species
UACGAAGGGUGCAAGCGUUACUCGGAAUUACUGGGCGUAAAGCGCGUGUAGGCGGCCCUGCAAGUCGGAUGUGAAAUCCCACGGCUCAACCGUGGAAGUGCAUUCGAAACUGCAGGGCUAGAGUCCUGGAGAGGAAGGUGGAAUGCUUGGUGUAGAGGUGAAAUUCGUAGAUAUCAAGCGGAACACCGGUGGCGAAGGCGGCCUUCUGGACAGUGACUGACGCUGAGACGCGAAAAGCGUGGGGAGCAACAGGG